UGCAGUCGAGCGGACCGAUGGGAGCUUGCUCCCUGAGGUUAGCGGCGGACGGGUGAGUAACACGUGGGUAACCUGCCUGUAAGACUGGGAUAACUCCGGAAAACCGGGGCUAAUACCGGAUGCUUGAUUGAACCGCAUGGUUCAAUCAUAAAAGAUGGCUUCGGCUAUCACUUACAGAUGGACCCGCGGCGCAUUAGCUAGUUGGUGAGGUAACGGCUCAACAAGGCGACGAUGCGUAGCCGACCUGAGAGGGUGAUCGGCCACACUGGGACUGAGACACGGCCCAGACUCCUACGGGAGGCAGCAGUAGGGAAUCUUCCGCAAUGGACGAAAGUCUGACGGAGCAACGCCGCGUGAGUGAUGAAGGUUUUCGGAUCGUAAAACUCUGUUGUUAGGGAAGAACAAGUACCGUUCGAACAGGGCGGUACCUUGACGGUACCUAACCAGAAAGCCACGGCUAACUACGUGCCAGCAGCCGCGGUAAUACGUAGGUGGCAAGCGUUGUCCGGAAUUAUUGGGCGUAAAGCGCGCGCAGGCGGUUUCUUAAGUCUGAUGUGAAAGCCCCCGGCUCAACCGGGGAGGGUCAUUGGAAACUGGGGAACUUGAGUGCAGAAGAGGAGAGUGGAAUUCCACGUGUAGCGGUGAAAUGCGUAGAGAUGUGGAGGAACACCAGUGGCGAAGGCGACUCUCUGGUCUGUAACUGACGCUGAGGCGCGAAAGCGUGGGGAGCGAACAGGAUUAGAUACCCUGGUAGUCCACGCCGUAAACGAUGAGUGCUA
rnacentral:rRNA from 1 species